GAUGAACGCUGCGGCGUGCCUAAUACAUGCAAGUCGAGCGAACGGACGAGAAGCUUGCUUCUCUGAUGUUAGCGGCGGACGGGUGAGUAACACGUGGAUAACCUACCUAUAAGACUGGGAUAACUUCGGGAAACCGGAGCUAAUACCGGAUAAUAUUUUGAACCGCAUGGUUCAAAAGUGAAAGACGGUCUUGCUGUCACUUAUAGAUGGAUCCGCGCUGCAUUAGCUAGUUGGUAAGGUAACGGCUUACCAAGGCAACGAUGCAUAGCCGACCUGAGAGGGUGAUCGGCCACACUGGAACUGAGACACGGUCCAGACUCCUACGGGAGGCAGCAGUAGGGAAUCUUCCGCAAUGGGCGAAAGCCUGACGGAGCAACGCCGCGUGAGUGGUGAAGGUCUUCGGAUCGUAAAACUCUGUUAUUAGGGAAGAACAUAUGUGUAAGUAACUGUGCACAUCUUGACGGUACCUAAUCAGAAAGCCACGGCUAACUACGUG
rnacentral:rRNA from 1 species